rnacentral:rRNA from 1 species
UACGGAGGGUGCAAGCGUUAUCCGGAUUCACUGGGUUUAAAGGGUGCGUAGGAGGGCAGGUAAGUCAGUGGUGAAAUCCUAGAGCUUAACUCUAGAACUGCCGUUGAUACUAUCUGUCUUGAAUAUUGUGGAGGUGAGCGGAAUAUGUCAUGUAGCGGUGAAAUGCUUAGAUAUGACAUAGAACACCAAUUGCGACGGCAGCUCGCUACACAUAUAUUGACUCUGAGGCACGAAAGCGUGGGGAUCAAACAGG